AGACAGAGUCCAGGGUAGCCCUGGCUUCCCGCCAACCCCACCUCUUUGACAUUUGAGCAGCCUUUGUGGUCUUGGCUUUUUCCAACUAAGUAACAAGUGGGUGUUUAUUUUGCCCACAGCUACGUGCACCCUCACCCCCUUUUUGCCAGCCCUAUCAUUUCUGCGAAUGGCAGACACUGCCUCUUCUUACACUAGCCGUGAUCUAUCCCUGCUCUGCUCUGCUUACUCAAGAGUUAUAUGUACACAUUUGUACGGAUACACAUGCCCAUGUGUGUGUAUGCAUGUGUGCAUGGAAGUCAAAGGUUGAUGGCACAGGUGUGGGCAUCAUGAUUCUGAGGUGGUCUUCUGCUGAUCUUGAAAUGCACCAGUUUGGUGAGGCUGUCUGGCCAAUGUGCUCCAAGGACCUACAGACAGUUUCACUUUGUAGCCCAAACUGGUCUGGAACUCAAUGUUAUCUAUCCUCCUGUAUCGGACUCCCGUGCCCACUGGCUUCCUUCUCUUCCAUGCUCUGGUGGAAGAGCAUGUGGCAGACUUUGUUCACAUUAAGGCAGAAGCAGAGAGGAACAGGAACCAAGGGUGGGUAUAGCCUCCAAUAGCCAUCCCCUCCCCUAACUCAUGACUAAUUCCCAACCUCUUUUUAAAAAAUCUGUCUUGUUGUUGUUUGUUUGUUUUU